GCAUCUUGGGAUCGAGCGUGCUCUGCCUGCUUUUCUCCUCCCUUGAGGAACUCUGGGAAUUGUAUUUUUCUGAAGGGUCUAUAGGCUUAAAAAUGAAUAGAGUGACGAUUUCAUUCCUUGAUGGGCACUUCUUGGUUCUUUCUGGUCUCCUGGGGCGGAAGUGACAGCUAAACCUGAAUCAAUGGCUAAACUGAGAUCAGAUUAGAUCGUAAAUUUUGGUCCGGUUGCUGCGAGUUUUCCCGGCCCAUACAAAAAACCAGAAAUGAAGACAUGUUGAAGGGGGUUGUGACUUGUGCCAGGACUCUUAAGACUCCCCCUCCAGGGUGAUCUCUCAACCAUUUCGCUCACCUUAACCAAUCAACUGACUUCCUGAACUGUUAGCCUAACAAAAAAGUUGGCCAAUUAGCACUGAUGACUGACUGCAAACUCGUUACAAUACAGGUACUUGCAUGGAAGAGCAACUGGAGAUGGAGGUCAGAACACUGGAGGAAGCACCUGCAGAAGGCAAAAGCAGGAAACAAACCAGACGAAUGUCAUUGCAACUUGGAUCCAUGAUUGCACAGUGGAUAGUUUUGCUCGCUUGCCUGGUCUGCAUUGGCUUGUUCUACCAUUGGGUGUGGUGCCAUCACUAUCAUCUGUUGUCUUCCAUGAGGAUUUUGCAAACUGACAACAAUUUGCUCACCAUAUGUGUAAAAUCCAAGGGAAAGAGUUGUGUUUCCACUUCAGAGUCUGCAACCACAGGCACAAUGGAUCUACGUCAAGCCCAGCAAUGCAUCCAUUUCUAACAAGAGCCCCAUUGGCAUUCAAUUCGAAGAAGGUACAAUGGAAGUCACUGAGGACCAUUUCAUCCCAAUCCACUGUGAUGGCCUCUAUGUCCUCUUCUUGAAGGGGAUGAUCAGACUGCGAGGGGUAAAUGACUCACUGAGUCUGAUUGUUUAUCAGAAGGAUGGUUCCACGAAGGAUGUUUUCAUCCUGGAGGUACUUUGCCGUGGUCUGGAGACAACUGUGCAAAACGUCACCAUGUCUAAGCUUCGUUCUGAGAAUAUGAUCUACUUGAAGGCAAACCAUGAAGCCACCAUAGGUGAUCUGAAACUGGGCCUCGUCAUGUUAACCCCUCAUUCAUAUUGUCACCCUGAACAUUAAAAAGCAAUAAAAUGACCAGUGAACUCUCCUCUACGAGCAUGGGCAGUUACAUUCAACAGAAUAUGAACUUGCAAUUAAUCUUAUCCAAAACUGGUUUCCACUUGAUAUAUCUGAGAAGAAAUUUUUCCACGGCUUAGUAGUGGAAAUCAGCCAACAGUCUAUAAAUAGCAUUGGCAAACAUACAGUUUCUUGCUUGCUCAUUUGCUUGCUUGCUUUAAACUGGUAUGUUGGGCUAGCACUCAUCCACUGGAAUGGAGUUUGUAAUAUUCUUCCCAAACUAUGUACCCUUUCCUGACUUCACAGAUUAACCCUGUGCAGAUGACAUGCCAUGUAGAAUCAACAGACUGUGUGGAUGGAGGAUUCCUGCUCCUCCCCUCCACCCAUAACUCUGAUCUUCUGAACAGAGCCAAAGCGCAUACAGCCUGUACAAGUGCUUACAACUAGACCAUAUUAGAUCAUAUGAAUCAACCCUACCGGAGGGAAAACUUCAGAUGGAGGGAAUGGGAUCUAAAUAUUUUUGUUUUCUCAAUUCGUUAAAUUUUUUUUUUACACUUUUUUGAAAAAAGUGUAAAUCUUACUUGUUCCUGGAGCGCCAACACACAGCUGCCCUCUUACAGUGGCCAUUUUUAUUACCCACAUGCCUCAGGAUACAGCACUAUCAUUCAUGGGACAGUGUGAGUAAUAACAAAAAGUUCUGGUAAAAACUAAUCUGCCUACUUCCUUUUCACUAUAAUCUUAAUUGAUAAUUACCAUCUUCAUAAGUUAGCCCACUUGUGCUUCAAACAUUUAUGCAUCCACCAUCUUAAACUGGGGUGAAUGACAUCAUUAAAACAACGCCAUUGAGGUGGCUCUAUGUGUCACUACAAAUGUACCAAAUUUGGUCCAAAUCAGUUGGGCAGCUCACAGGUUAGUCCACUUGGACCUCAAACAUACAUGCAUCUGCCAUUUUGAAUUAGGAUUGAUGACCUAAUCACAAACUGCAUCGUUGAGGUGUCCUUACGUGUCCCUACAACUAUACAAAGUUUGGUUCAAAUCAGUCUGGGCAUUGUGAGGUUGAUAGGAACACACACACACACACCCCUAGAGAGAGUGUGCUGAGUUAUCUUAUUAAAAAAUGGCCACCACGAGGCUACAGCUGUGCCCUGUAGCUCCUGCCAGCAGUUACAGUAACAAGUAAGAUUUAUAUUUUGCCCCAACAGAAAAUAAAAAUGGGAAUGAAUGGGAAUGAGAGUGCUGGCUGACAGGUGGAUUAUAAAUCUGAAAAAGGAAAGAAGGAAGGAGAGAGCAACCAUCAGCCCCAUGAAGCAGAAAGAAGACAAGUCAUCCAGCUUCAGAGAGUACAUCAAACAGUAUAAUAAAACAAAUCUAGGUGCUUCAGGCCAAAGAGCCAGCGAGUCCAUCUGCCUUGGCAGAAGAUUCCUUCCCUGUCCCAAAUAUGGGUUCCAACUGUGAAGCAAAGCCUUCCACUAAGCCUCACCAAGAGAAAAGCCCUUUGACUUGCUAAAACAACCCUAGCCAAGCAAUUGACCCUUAUCUAGCUUUGCUGCAUCUGAGCUUCAGCUGCCAACUUCGACAUGCCCUCUUUGGUGUGACUGCAAAGCAAGUUUUCCAAAGUUCAAGUAUCUUGAGCUGGAAUAUCAGUUCAGUCUUUAGAUGAAUGGAAUCUUCAGUGUCAGCUUCAAAGAUGUAUUUUGUGAUUGGCUGUGCCCCAUGUGAGAUUUUAUGUCAGAACAGAUAUAAAACAUGUCACCGCUGUAAUUGGGAGAGUCUCCUUACAGGGAAUGUAGUUGUGCCUUUUACUAAGACUGUUUAUAAUUUAUUUAUUUAUAAUGUAUGUAUUUAUAAUAAAACACAAGAGGGCGAGA